UACGAAGGGGGCUAGCGUUGCUCGGAAUCACUGGGCGUAAAGCGCACGUAGGCGGCUCUUUAAGUCAGGGGUGAAAUCCUGGAGCUCAACUCCAGAACUGCCUUUGAUACUGGAGAUCUCGAGUCCGGAAGAGGUGAGUGGAACUCCGAGUGUAGAGGUGAAAUUCGUAGAUAUUCGGAAGAACACCAGUGGCGAAGGCGGCUCACUGGUCCGGUACUGACGCUGAGGUGCGAAAGCGUGGGGAGCAAACAGG
rnacentral:rRNA from 1 species